rnacentral:rRNA from 1 species
GUGGGGAAUUUUGGACAAUGGGCGCAAGCCUGAUCCAGCAAUGCCGCGUGCGGGAAGAAGGCCUUCGGGUUGUAAACCGCUUUUGUACGGAACGAAAAGGCUCUGGCUAAUACCUGGGGCUGAUGACGGUACCGUAAGAAUAAGCACCGGCUAACUACGUGCCAGCAGCCGCGGUAAUACGUAGGGUGCGAGCGUUAAUCGGAAUUACUGGGCGUAAAGCGUGCGCAGGCGGUCUUGUAAGACAGAGGUGAAAUCCCUGGGCUCAACCUAGGAAUGGCCUUUGUGACUGCAAGGCUGGAGUGCGGCAGAGGGGGAUGGAAUUCCGCGUGUAGCAGUGAAAUGCGUAGAUAUGCGGAGGAACACCGAUGGCGAAGGCAGUCCCCUGGGCCUGCACUGACGCUCAUGCACGAAAGCGUGGGGAGCAAACAGGAUUAGAAACCCUAGUAGUCC